GGAAGAGGUCAGAACACUUCUUGUGAGUAUCAGAUAGCCAACAUGUAAGGCAUGGUGGGCAGAUCCCAUUCUAGUGUAACCCUGAAGUGAAAUAAUAUGCAAAUGCAACCACAUUCAGACAUACAUAUUCACAUCGUCUCCCUGAACCCUAUAAAAAUGGCGGCAUACUAUGUAGACUGUUCUGGACUUGGCUUUAUCAGUUAAACACAGGGGAUGGCAGACUGUCCCACUAGCCAAAUCCAGCCUGCCACCUGUUUCUGUACAUAGUUUUACUGGAACCUGCAUUCCCUCAUUUACAAGUUAUCUGACUGCUUUCAUGCUACAGAACUGACUAGUCACAACAGUGGCUGUGACUGGCAAAGCCUAAAGUCUUUACUGCCUGCUCCUUUAUAGAGCAGGUUUGCUUGUCUCCAAAUUAAAGGAUAUGUGUGGCCUUUCCACAUUAGUAAUGAAAGCUUCUGCACUCUGGGAGCAUAUUCUUUCCACAAUUAGGGCCUCUUAAUGCAUAUCUGGGUUGGACCUUUGUACUUACCCCAUUUUCUGCAUGUGUGGGUGUAUUUAUAGGAUGAAGUCUUAGAAGUGGAAUUGCUCAGCAAAAGCCUACAUUGAUCAUUGUAUUGCUAUUGUCAAACUGCCCUCCAUGGAGGUUGGAAGAACUUACAUUCUCACCAGUGUUAUGAACCCCACCUUUGCCAGCAAGUGGUUCAGAAAGUAGACUGUUCAGAGAAGCUGAGCUGGUCCCAGCACCUGGAAGGAAGCUUCCCACCACCAUCCCAGGCUCCUAGGGCAGAGAAGGUGAGCCGCGCGGGCACCAGAAGCACCCCCCCCCCCCGCCGUGG
ensembl:lncRNA